CGGCGGACGGGUGAGUAACGCGUGGGUAACCUGCCUCAUACAGGGGGAUAACAGUUGGAAACGACUGCUAAUACCGCAUAAGCGCACAGUACCGCAUGGUACAGUGUGAAAAACUCCGGUGGUAUGAGAUGGACCCGCGUCUGAUUAGCUAGUUGGUGGGGUAACGGCCUACCAAGGCGACGAUCAGUAGCCGACCUGAGAGGGUGACCGGCCACAUUGGGACUGAGACACGGCCCAA
rnacentral:rRNA from 1 species